rnacentral:rRNA from 1 species
UACAGAGGGGGCAAGCGUUGUUCGGAAUUACUGGGCGUAAAGGGCGCGUAGGCGGCCUGCUAAGUCGAACGUGAAAUCCCCGAGCUCAACUCGGGAACUGCGUCCGAUACUGGCAGGCUUGAAUUCGGGAGAGGGAUGCGGAAUUCCAGGUGUAGCGGUGAAAUGCGUAGAUAUCUGGAGGAACACCGGUGGCGAAGGCGGCAUCCUGGACCGGUAUUGACGCUGAGGCG